rnacentral:rRNA from 1 species
GACGAACGCUGGCGGCGUGCUUAACACAUGCAAGUCGAACGGAAAGGCCCUGCUUUUGUGGGGUGCUCGAGUGGCGAACGGGUGAGUAACACGUGAGUAACCUGCCCUUGACUUUGGGAUAACUUCAGGAAACUGGGGCUAAUACCGGAUAGGAGCUCCUGCUGCAUGGUGGGGGUUGGAAAGUUUCGGCGGUUGGGGAUGGACUCGCGGCUUAUCAGCUUGUUGGUGGGGUAGUGGCUUACCCAGGCUUUGAGGGGUAGCCGGCCUGAGAGGGUGACCGGCCACUGGGGCGCGGGGAUGCGGCCCAAGCUCAUCGGGGGGGAAGGGGGGGGGAAUGUGGGAAAAGGGGCGGAGGCGGGAUGAAGAACGGCGGGGGGCGGGAUGACGGGCUUCGGGUUGAAAAAGGGUUUCCCUUGGGACGAAGGGUGGGUGGGGAAAAGGGGAAAAGAACAACCGGCUAAAUAGG